rnacentral:rRNA from 1 species
AACGAACGCUGGCGGCGUGGAUAAGACAUGCAAGUCGAACGGGAUUAUUUUUGUAGCAAUACAGAAAUAAUUCAGUGGCGAACGGGUGCGUAACACGUGGGCAAUCUGCCGAAAAGUGGGGGAUAGCUCGCCGAAAGGACGAAUUAAUACCGCAUGUGGUGAGGGACGACAUCUUCCUGAAUCCAAAGCCGGGGCAACCUGGCGCUUUUUGUAGGAGCCCGCGGCCUAUCAGCUUGUUGGCGGGGUAACGGCCCACCAAGGCUAUGACGGGUAGCUGGUCUGAGAGGACGACCAGUCACACUGGAACUGAGACACGGUCCAGACACCUACGGGUGGCAGCAGUCGAGAAUUUUUCUCAAUGGGGGCAACCCUGAA